rnacentral:rRNA from 1 species
UGAGGAAUAUUGGUCAAUGGGCGGAAGCCUGAACCAGCCAUGCCGCGUGCGGGAAGGAGGCCCUAUGGGCUGUGAACCGCUUUUGCCUGGGGGCAAUAAGGGCGUCGCGCACGUCCGAUGAGAGUACCAGGCGAAUAAGCAUCGGCUAACUCCGUGCCAGCAGCCGCGGCAAUACGGAGGAUGCAAGCGUUAUCCGGAAUUAUUGGGUUUAAAGGGUGCGUAGGCUGUUUUGCAAGUCAGGGGUGAAAGCCCGGAGCUCAACUCCGGAACUGCCUUUGAUACUGCGAGGCUGGAAUACGGAUGCCGUGGGAGGAAUGAGUAGUGUAGCGGUGAAAUGCAUAGAUAUUACUCAGAACACCGAUUGCGAAGGCAUCUCACGAAUCCGUCAUUGACGCUGAGGCACGAAAGCGUGGGGAUCAAACAGGAUUAGAUACCCUGGUAGU